UGACAAUGCUGGUGUCUCUAAGGGAGC
rnacentral:piRNA from 1 species